rnacentral:lncRNA from 13 species
GAAAUACUAUUUUAGCAUCCAACUAAAAUAGUAGCAUCCAGCCUUGAAGCAUUGAAGCAUUUCAGCUACAAUUUUCUAAAAUUACAAUAGAAACUUCUAGAAUUGGAUGGCAGAGAAAGGUUGAUCUUCAUCUCACUUCUUGGUUAGACAGCUGAACAAUGCUAAGUUAACAGAAAUGUAGGGGUUUGACAUAAGGGGCUAUGUCUAGAGAUAUUUAGAGGUAAUUUAACUUUCAAUGUGUAACCUUAAUUAAAAGGUACAAACAAUGUCUGCUUCCAUUUUUAUUUUUUAGAGCAAUUCUUUCCCGACACCUACCCGCAAUGUAUCAUGUGAAAAAAUAAAAUUUUGGGUCCAAUAUGUGGAUUAAGAUAAUUUUUCAAGGACAGUAGUACCAAACAUGAUAAAAUAAUGUAACUAGCUGAAAGAUGGCAUUAUGUUUUGAAUAUUAUUUUUUUGUAACAGUAACCUAAGUAAUCCCAGGAAAGACAUGUCAGUUUGUGGAAGUAAGCAUGUUUUGUUCAUGUAAAGAUUCAAGUGGAUGCUACUACAAAUUGCUCAUCUUCAAACCUUACUGAAUUUGGUCACUAUGAACAAACAAAAUCUGAUUGAGAGACUAUGCCGAGCAAGGUGAUAAGAGUCUCACUCAGUUGUCCAGACUGGAGUGCAGUGGCGCUAUCUCGGCUCACUGCAACCUCCGCCUCCUGGGUUCAAGCAAUUCUCUUGCCUCAGCCUCCUAAGUAGCCAGGAUUACAGAAAGUAAUGAAUCAUCCA